rnacentral:rRNA from 1 species
UAGCUCACUGGUCGAGUCGGCCUGCGCGGAAGAUGUAACGGGGCUAAACCAUGCACCGAAGCUGCGGCAGCGACGCUGAUGCGUUGUUGGGUAGGGGAGCGUUCUGUAAGCCUGUGAAGGUGUGCUGUGAGGUAUGCUGGAGGUAUCAGAAGUGCGAAUGCUGACAUAAGUAACGAUAAAGCGGGUGAAAAGCCCGCUCGCCGGAAGACC